rnacentral:rRNA from 1 species
AGUGAAUAGAUACCCGGGUAGUCCACGCCGUAAACGAUGAGUACUAGGUGUAGGAGGUAUCGACCCCUUCUGUACCGCAGUAAAAACACAAAUAAGUACUCCGCCUGGGAAGUACGAUCGCAAGAUUAAAACUCAAAGGAAUUGACGGGGGCCCGCACAAGCAGCGGAGCAUGUGGUUUAAAUUCGAAGCAACGCGAAGAACCUUACCUGGACUUGACAUACCCUGAAUAUCUUAGAGAUAAGAGAAGCCCUUCGGGGCAGGGAUACAAGUGGUGCAUGGUUGUCGUCAGCUCGUGUCGUGAGAUGUUAGUUAAGUCCUGCAACGAGCGCAACCCCUGUUGUUAGUUGCUAACAUUAAGUUGAGCACUCUAGCAAGACUGCCGCGGUUAACGCGGAGGAAGGUGGGGAUGACGUCAAAUCAUCAUGCCCCUUAUGUCCAGGGCAACACACGUGCUACAAUGGGCAGUACAGAGAGAUGCAAGACCGCGAGGUGGAGCAAACCUCAAAAA